UGCCCGGGAUCCAAACCUGUAAACCCCGCACCACCGAAGCAAAGCAUGCGAACUUAACUGCUACACCACCAGGAAAAGAGGCAGAGACACAAACACAGAGGGAAGAAUGCCAUGUGAAGAUGGAGGCAGAGAUUGGAGUAAUGCAGCUGUAAGCCAAGGGACGCCAAGAAUGGAUGGCCACCAUCAGAAGCUACAAGAAAGUCAUGAAACAGAUUUUUCCCUAGGUCCUUGAGAGAGAACAUAGUCCUGCUGACACCUUGAUUUUAGAUUUCUACCCUCCAGAACUGUGAGAUAAAACCAAUUUCUAAGCCAA